rnacentral:lncRNA from 1 species
CCGGGAACCCGGCGCAGGACCUGCGGUCUGGUGACGCCAGUUCAACUUCCAACGGCUGCCCUCAGUAAGCGCCGUGACCAACCUCCAGGACUGAACGCUGCUCCCGGUGAGCCCUCGUUCACCAUCCAGCCAACCUACAGAUUUCUACAUCGUCUCUGUGGCGCAAUCGGUUAGCGCGUUCGGCUGUUAACCGAAAGAGACAGUUGCUCACUGUGUAGCCUCGGCUGGACUGGGAUUCGCAGAGAUCAAGAGCUGCUGUCUCUUGAGUGCUAAAAUUAAAGGCAUGUACCAC